GAUGAACGCUGGCGGUGUGGAUAAGGCAUGCAAGUCGAACGGGACUAAUCACAUGGAAAUGCAAAGCAAGUUUGAGUAGCAAUACGAUGGCAAGCGAUGUAUGGAAAAGUGACAGUCUAGUGGCAAACGAGGUAGUAAUACAUAGGAACUUCCCCCGAAGUCUCGAAUAGCCCACCGAAAGGUGGAGUAAUACGAGAUGGUCCGGUAACGGUAAAGAUUUAUCGCUUCGGGAAAGGCCUGUGCAAUAUCAGCUAGUUGGUAGUGUAAUGGACUACCAAGGCUAUGACGUUUAGGAGAGCUGAGAGGCUGACCUCCACCGAUGGGACUGAGACACGGCCCAUACACCUACGGGUGGCUGCAGUCGAGAAUCUUCCGCAAUGGGCGAAAGCCUGACGGAGCGACACCGCGUGAUGGAUGAAGUGCUUCGGUAUGUAAACAUCUUUUAUGAGGGAAGAAGUAUAUUGACGGUACCUCAUGAAUAAGGA
rnacentral:rRNA from 1 species